CCUACGGGUGGCAGCAGUGGGGGAUAUUGCACAAUGGGGGAAACCCUGAUGCAGCGACGCCGCGUGGGUGAAGAAGCGCCUCGGCGCGUAAAGCCCUGUCAGCAGGGAAGAAAAUGACGGUACCUGAAGAAGAAGCCCCGGCUAACUACGUGCCAGCAGCCGCGGUAAUACGUAGGGGGCAAGCGUUAUCCGGAUUUACUGGUUGUAAAGGGGGCGCAGACGGCGAUGCAAGCCAGGAGUGAAAGCCCGGGGCCCAACCUCGGGACUGCUCUUGGAACUGCGUGGCUAGAGUGCAGGAGGGGCAGGCGGAAUUCCUGGUGUAGCGGUGAAAUGCGUAGAGAUCAGGAGGAACACCGGUGGCGAAGGCGGCCUGCUGGACUGCAACUGACGUUGAGGCCCGAAAGCGUGGGGAGCAAACAGGAUUAGAUACCCCAGUAGUC
rnacentral:rRNA from 1 species